rnacentral:rRNA from 1 species
GUUAGUGGCAGACGGGUGAGUAAUGCGUAGGAAUCUACCUAGUAGUACGGAAUAGCCAUUAGAAAUGGUGGGUAAUACUGUAUAAUCCCCGAGGGGGAAAGAUUUAUCGCUAUUAGAUGAGCCUACGUUAGAUUAGCUAGUUGGUGAGGUAAUGGCUUACCAAGGCUAUGAUCUAUAGCUGGUCUGAGAGGACGAUCAGCCACACUGGAACUGAGAUACGGUCCAGACUCCUACGGGAGGCAGCAGUGGGGAAUAUUGGACAAUGGGCGAAAGCCUGAUCCAGCUAUGCCGCGUGAGUGAAGAAGGCCUUCGGGUUGUAAAACUCUUUCA